UGGGGAAUAUUGCACAAUGGGCGGAAGCCUGAUGCAGCGACGCCGCGUGAGGGAUGACGGCCUUCGGGUUGUAAACCUCUUUCAGUAGGGACGAAGCGUAAGUGACGGUACCUGCAGAAGAAGCACCGGCUAACUACGUGCCAGCAGCCGCGGUAAUACGUCGGGUGCGAGCGUUGUCCGGAAUUACUGGGCGUAAAGCGCUCGUAGGCGGUUUGUCACGUCGUCUGUGAAAUCCUAGGGCUUAACCCUGGACGUGCAGGCGAUACGGGCUGACUUGAGUACUACAGGGGAGACUGGAAUUUCUGGUGUAGCGGUGGAAUGCACAGAUAUCAGGAAGAACACCGAUGGCGAAGGCAGGUCUCUGGGUAGUAACUGACGCUGAGGAGCGAAAGCAUGGGUAGCGAACAGG
rnacentral:rRNA from 1 species